ensembl:snRNA
AAAAAGGGCAUCUGCUGCGACCGGCACAGCUGUGGGUAGGGUUUUCUGACACAGCUGCGGAAUCGCUAUCAAGAGAUUCCAGAUGCACGAUUUUUAUAACCCGAGGCUGCUAAUGAUCGUUAUUCUUGGUGCCUCA